rnacentral:rRNA from 1 species
GUGAGGAAUAUUGCGCAAUGGAGGCAACUCUGACGCAGCCAUGUCGCGUGCAGGAAGAAGGCGCUACGCGUUGUAAACUGCUUUUAACCGGGAAGAAACCCCAGGACGUGUCCUGGGUUGACGGUACCGGAGGAAUAAGCACCGGCUAACUUCGUGCCAGCAGCCGCGGUAAUACGAAGGGUGCAAGCGUUAUCCGGAUUCAUUGGGUUUAAAGGGUGCGUAGGCGGAGCGUUAAGUCAGUGGUGAAAUCCUGCAGCUUAACUGUAGACUUGCCAUUGAUACUGGCGCUCUUGAGUGCGCUUGAAGUGGGCGGAAUGUGCCGUGUAGCGGUGAAAUGCUUAGAUAUGGCACAGAACACCAAUUGCGAAGGCAGCUCACUAAGGCGAUACUGACGCUGAGGCACGAAAGCGUGGGGAUCGAACAGGAUUAGAAACCCUUGUAGUCC